ACCUCCCAGGUUCCAGUGAUUCUCCUGCCUCAGCCUCCUGAGUAGCUGAGAUUUAUAGGCUGUGAGCAAGACGGCCUGUCCUUUGGGUUUUGUGAGACACUGCGCCUACUGGGCCCCUGCCAGCUGCCCACCGUCUGCACCCAGUGCUGCUGCUCAUGAUCCGUCCAGCCACGGCGCCCCCUCUCGAGGCCAUCAGUGGGUUGCCUGCCGCUGACUGUGCCAGGAUGCACAGACCAACCGACAGACCUCAGUGCCCACCAAGGGCUGUGGCGGAGCUCCCGCCCCCGCGCCCUAAUGGUGCUAAACCCCUCUCCCUACCCAGCGGCAGGCUGGGGACCUCCUCCCCAUCAAAAAAGGUAUUUUUUUAUUCUAACAGUUCGUGUAACAUUUAUGAUUUUACAUAAAUGAGCAUCUACCAUU